UACGUAGGGUCCAAGCGUUGUCCGGAAUUAUUGGGCGUAAAGAGCUCGUAGGCGGUGUGUCGCGUCGGAUGUGAAAGCCCGGGGCUUAACCCCGGGUCUGCAUUCGGUACGGGCAUGCUGGAGUUCGGUAGGGGAGACUGGAAUUCCCGGUGUAGCGGUGAAAUGCGCAGAUAUCAGGAAGAACACCCGUGGCUAAGGCGGCUCUCUAGUACGGUACUGACGCUGAGACGCGAAAGCGUGGGGAGCGAACAGG
rnacentral:rRNA from 1 species